AAAUUCUACUAGGGGAGCCUGUAUCUCAGGCUGAGAAAAAGGAAAUUGACCUUUUGACCCUCAGGACCUGAUCUGGAUUAUGCCAGCGGAGGGAAGUAGUGUACAUAUAUA
rnacentral:ncRNA from 2 species